UACGGGGGGAGCAAGCGUUGUUCGGAUUUACUGGGCGUAAAGGGCGCGUAGGCGGUCAGCACAAGUCAGUUGUGAAAUCUCCGGGCUUAACUCGGAAAGGUCAACUGAUACUGCGCGGCUAGAGUGCAGAAGGGGCAACUGGAAUUCUCGGUGUAGCGGUGAAAUGCAUAGAUAUGACCCGGAACACCGAUUGCGAAGGCAGCCCGCUAAGCAACUAUUGACGCUGAGGCACGAAAGCGUGGGGAUCAAACAGG
rnacentral:rRNA from 1 species